GAUGAACGCUGGCGGCGUGCCUAAUACAUGCAAGUCGAGCGGACGGACGAGUAGCUUGCUUCGCUUAUGUUACCGGCGGACGGGUGAGUAACACGUGGAUAACCUCUCUAUAAGAAUGGGAUAACUUCGGGAAACCUUAGCUAAUACCGGAUAAUAUUUUGAACCGCAUGGUUCAAACGUGAAAGACGGUCUUGCUGUCCCUUAUAGAUGGAUCCGCGCUGCAUUAGCUAGUUGGUAAGGUAACGGCUUACCAAGGCAACGAUGCAUAGCCGACCUGAGAGGGUGAUCGGCCACACUGGAACUUAGACACGGUCCAGACUCCUACGGGAGGCAGCAGUAGGGAAUCUUCCGCAAUGGGCGAAAGCCUGACGCAGCAACGCCGCGUGAGUGAUGAAGGUCUUCGGAUCGUAAAACUCUGUUAUUAGGGAAGAACAUAUGUGAAAGGAACCGUGGACAUCUUGACGGUACCUAAAGAAAAAGCAACGGCUAACUACGUG
rnacentral:rRNA from 1 species